rnacentral:rRNA from 1 species
CCUACGGGUGGCAGCAGUGAGGAAUAUUGGUCAAUGGACGAGAGUCUGAACCAGCCAAGUAGCGUGAAGGAUGACUGCCCUAGGGGUUGUAAGCUUCUUUUAUAAAGGAAUAAAACGAGGCACGUGUGCCUUUUUGCAUGUACUUUAUGAAUAAGGAUCGGCUAAAUCCGUGCCAGCAGCCCCGGUAAUACGGAGGGUCCGAGUGUUAUCCGGAUUUAGUGGGUUUAAAGGGAGCGUAGAUGGGUUGUUAAGUCAGUUGUGAAAGUCUGCGGCUCAACCGUAAAAUUGCAAUUGAUACUGGCAGGCUUGAGUACAGUUGAGGUAGGCGGAAUUCGUGGUGUAGCGGUGAAAUGCGUAGAUAUCAGGAAGAACCCCGAUGGCGAAGGCAGCUUACUAAACUGUGACUGACAUUGAUGCUCGAAAGUGUGGGUAUCAAACAGGAUUAGAUACCCGAGUAGUC